GAUGAACGCUGGCGGCGUGCCUAAUACAUGCAAGUCGAGCGAACAGACGAGGAGCUUGCUCCUCUGACGUUAGCGGCGGACGGGUGAGUAACACGUGGAUAACCUACCUAUAAGACUGGGAUAACUUCGGGAAACCGGAGCUAAUACCGGAUAAUAUAUUGAACCGCAUGGUUCAAUAGUGAAAGUCGGUUUUGCUGUCACUUAUCGCUGCAUCCGGGCCGCAUUAGCUAGUUGGUACGGUCACGGCCUACCACGGCAACGAUGCGUAGACGACCUGAGAGGGGGGUCGGCGACACUGGAACUGAGACACGGUCCAGACGCCUACGGGAGGGAGCAGUCGGGAAUCUGCGGCAAUGGGCGGAAGCAUGACGGAGCAGCGGCGCGUGAGAGAUGAAGGCGUUCGGAGCGGGAAGCUCUGUUAUUAGGGGAGAACAAAUGUGGAAGGAGAUAUGCAGGGAUUGACGGUACCGGAUCAGAAAGCCACGGCUAACUACGUG
rnacentral:rRNA from 1 species